rnacentral:tRNA from 1 species
UUAUAUCAUUGGCAGACAAAUGCAAUAGACUUAGAUUCUAAAUAUACAUAA